GAUCUAUCCAUGAGCAGGUUGAAGGUUGGGUAACACUAACUGGAGGACCGAACCCACUGUCGUUGAAAAGCCAGGGGAUGACUUGUGGAUAGGGGUGAAAGGCUAAUCAAGCCUGGUGAUAGCUGGUUCUCCCCGAAAGCUAUUUAGGUAGCGCCUCGGACGAAUACCAUAGGGGGUAGAGCACUGUUUCGGCUAGGGGGUCAUCCCGACUUACCAAACCGAUGCAAACUCCGAAUACCUAUGAGUACUAUCCGGGAGACAGACUGCGGGUGCUAACGUCCGUAGUCAAGAGGAAAACAAUCCAGACCGCCAGCUAAGGCCCCAAAAUCAUAGUUAAGUGGGAAACGAUGUGGGAAGGCAUAGACAGCUAGGAGGUUGGCUUAGAAGCAGCCACCCUUUAAAGAAAGCGUAAUAGCUCACUAGUCGAGUCGGCCUGCGCGGAAGAUGUAACGGGGCUAAAACUAUGUGCCGAAGCUGCGGAUGUAUACUUUGUAUACGUGGUAGGGGAGCGUUCUGUAAGCCGAUGAAGGUGUGUUGAGAAGCAUGCUGGAGGUAUCAGAAGUGCGAAUGCUGACGUGAGUAACGACAAAACGGGUGAAAAACCCGUUCGCCGAAAGACCAAGGGUUCCAGUCCAACGUUAAUCGGGGCUGGGUGAGUCGACCCCUAAGGCGAGGCCGAAAGGCGUAGUCGAUGGGAAAAUGGUUAAUAUUCCAUUACUUCUGUGUAAUGCGAUGAGAGGACGGAGAAGGCUAAAUCAGCCUGGCGUUGGUUGUCCAGGUGAAAGGAUGUAGGCAUGUAUCUUAGGCAAAUCCGGGGUACUCUAUGCUGAGAUCUGAUAGCAAGCUGUACUUGUACAGCGAAGUGGUUGAUGCCAUGCUUCCAGGAAAAGUCUCUAAGCUUCAGUUACACAGGAAUCGUACCCGAAACCGACACAGGUGGUCAGGUCGAGUAGACCAAGGCGCUUGAGAGAACUCUGCUGAAGGAACUAGGCAAAAUGGUACCGUAACUUCGGGAGAAGGUACGCUGUUGUUGGUGAUGGAACUCGCUUCCUGAGCUGACGACAGCCGCAGAAACCAGGCCGCUGCAACUGUUUAUUAAAAACAUAGCACUCUGCAAACACGAAAGUGGACGUAUAGGGUGUGAUGCCUGCCCGGUGCUGGAAGGUUAAUUGAUGGGGUUAGCGUAAGCGAAGCUCUUGAUCGAAGCCCCAGUAAACGGCGGCCGUAACUAUAACGGUCCUAAGGUAGCGAAAUUCCUUGUCGGGUAAGUUCCGACCUGCACGAAUGGCAUAAUGAUGGCGGCGCUGUCUCCAGCAGAGGCUCAGUGAAAUCGAAAUCGCUGUGAAGAUGCAGUGUACCCGCGGCUAGACGGAAAGACCCCGUGAACCUUUACUGCAGCUUGACACUGAACUUUGACCUUACUUGUGUAGGAUAGGUGGGAGGCUUUGAAGCUGGAACGCUAGUUCCAGUGGAGCCGUCCUUGAAAUACCACCCUGGUAAUGUUGAGGUUCUAACUCUGUCCCGUGAUCCGGGACGAGGACCGUGUCUGGUGGGUAGUUUGACUGGGGCGGUCUCCUCCUAAAGAGUAACGGAGGAGUACGAAGGUGCGCUCAGCGUGGUCGGAAAUCACGCGUAGAGUAUAAAGGCAAAAGCGCGCUUAACUGCGAGACCCACAAGUCGAGCAGGUACGAAAGUAGGUCUUAGUGAUCCGGUGGUUCUGUAUGGAAGGGCCAUCGCUCAACGGAUAAAAGGUACUCUGGGGAUAACAGGCUGAUACCGCCCAAGAGUUCAUAUCGACGGCGGUGUUUGGCACCUCGAUGUCGGCUCAUCUCAUCCUGGGGCUGAAGCAGGUCCCAAGGGUAUGGCUGUUCGCCAUUUAAAGAGGUACGCGAGCUGGGUUUAGAACGUCGUGAGACAGUUCGGUCCCUAUCUACCGUGGGCGCUGGAAAUUUGAGAGGAUCUGCUCCUAGUACGAGAGGACCAGAGUGGACGAACCUCUGGUGUACCGGUUGUGACGCCAGUCGCAUCGCCGGGUAGCUAUGUUCGGAAGGGAUAACCGCUGAAAGCAUCUAAGCGGGAAGCCUACCUCAAGAUAAGAUUUCCCUAGGACUUUAUGUCCUCUAAAGAGCCGUUCGAGACUAGGACGUUGAUAGGUUGGAUGUGGAAGCAUAGUGAUAUGUGAAGCUGACCAAUACUAAUUGCUCGUGAGGCUUGACUAU
rnacentral:rRNA from 1 species